rnacentral:rRNA from 1 species
UACAGAGGUGGCAAGCGUUGUUCGGAAUUACUGGGCGUAAAGGGCGCGUAGGCGGUUCGUUAAGUCCUGUGUGAAAUCCCUCGGCUUAACCGGGGAACUGCAUCUGAUACUGGAUGGCUUGAGUUCGGGAGAGGGAUGCGGAAUUCCAGGUGUAGCGGUGAAAUGCGUAGAUAUCUGGAGGAACACCGGUGGCGAAGGCGGCAUCCUGGACCGACACUGACGCUGAGGAGCGAAAGCCAGGGGAGCAAACGGG